rnacentral:rRNA from 1 species
AUUGAACGCUGGUGGCAUGCUUAACACAUGCAAGUCGAACGGUAACAGGUCUUCGGAUGCUGACGAGUGGCGGACGGGUGAGUAACGCGUAGGAAUCUGCCCAUUUGAGGGGGAUACCAGUUGGAAACGACUGUUAAUACCGCAUAAUAUCUGUGGAUUAAAGGUGGCUUAGGCUGCCGCAGAUGGAUGAGCCUGCGUUGGAUUAGCUAGUUGGUGGGGUAAUGGCCUACCAAGGCGACGAUGCAUAACUGGUCUGAGAGGAUGAUCAGUCACACUGGAACUGAGACACGGUCCAGACUCCUACGGGAGGCAGCAGUAGGGAAUAUUGCGCAAUGGGGGAAACCCUGACGCAGCAAUGCCACGUGAGUGAGGAAGGCCUCGGUUGUAA